rnacentral:tRNA from 1 species
GCGUCGGUGGUUCAGUGGUAGAAUACUCGCCUGCCACGCGGGUGGCCCGGGUUCGAUUCCCGGCCGACUUCGAAUUCCCGCG